rnacentral:rRNA from 1 species
AGGCCUUCGGGUUGUAAAGUACUUUCAGCGGGGAGGAAGGCGACAGGGUUAAUAACCCUGUCGAUUGACGUUACCCGCAGAAAAAGCACCGGCUAACUCCGUGCCAGCAGCCGCGGUAAUACGGAGGGUGCAAGCGUUAAUCGGAAUUACUGGGCGUAAAGCGCACGCAGGCGGUCUGUCAAGUCGGAUGUGAAAUCCCCGGGCUCAACCUGGGAACUGCAUUCGAAACUGGCAGGCUAGAGUCUUGUAGAGGGGGGUAGA